rnacentral:lncRNA from 1 species
AGCCCGUGCGCUUGCUGUUGUGAGCGUGUAUUGGUGGUGCAGACCGGCCUGUCGGCUCCGCAGGCCAACCCAGACAUCGAGCUUCUGAGUUCAGGAACACUUCAUUAAAUGUAUUUGCUACAUGUUUGCUUCAUUAAAUUUGUUUACUUAGUGAAUGAAUUCUAACCAAAUGCCUUCAUAACUUUCUCAGUAAUUCCUGACUUGCCUCAUUUGGAAGGGAAAGAUGGAUAUAAACCCAGGCUGUUCAUGUCGCUUUAUUUGACAGGAAUGGCCACUCAUGGUGGGGCUGCCAAGGCUGCUGAAGCCAAAAUGAUAUCUGUGACCCAUUUUAAAGUUAAAGUGAUGGCAGCAUCCAUCUUUCCCCUCCCGGAAGUGCCUGUUA